rnacentral:rRNA from 1 species
UACGUAGGGCGCAAGCGUUAUCCGGAAUUAUUGGGCGUAAAGAGCUUGUAGGCGGUCUGUCGCGUCUGCUGUGAAAAUCCGGGGCUCAACCCCGGACUUGCAGUGGGUACGGGCAGACUAGAGUGUGGUAGGGGAGACUGGAAUUCCUGGUGUAGCGGUGAAAUGCGCAGAUAUCAGGAGGAACACCGAUGGCGAAGGCAGGUCUCUGGGCCACUACUGACGCUGAGGAGCAAAAGCGUGGGGAGCGAACAGG